rnacentral:rRNA from 1 species
UACGUAGGGGGCAAGCGUUGUCCGGAAUUAUUGGGCGUAAAGAGCUCGUAGGCGGUCUGUUGCGUCCGCUGUGAAAACUCGGGGCUUAACCCCGAGCCUGCAGUGGAUACGGGCAGACUAGAGGUAGGUAGGGGAAAAUGGAAUUCCCGGUGUAGCGGUGAAAUGCGCAGAUAUCGGGAGGAACACCGGUGGCGAAGGCGGUUCUCUGGGCCUUACCUGACGCUGAGGAGCGAAAGCGUGGGGAGCGAACAGG